CUCGAAUGUGGAAUUACAGCAAGUGGAUUCGUUUUCUUCAGCCGCCAUAAGAGACAGCGCAGACCAGGUGGAUUAAACAGCGGAAGUCACAGAGGGUCGGAGACCAAAUCGCAGGGCAGCAUGGUCAGAAACAACUGCUGCCUGAGGUCACACUGACACCCAGAGGUGGGGAGAGGACACUGGAAGAGGAAGUGAUGGCAUUUCUGCAAGUCCAUCCA
rnacentral:lncRNA from 1 species